rnacentral:rRNA from 1 species
CAGCCGCCACGGUAAUACGAAGGGUGCAAGCGUUAAUCGGAGUUACUGGGCGUAAAGCGUGCGUAGGCGGUGAGUUAAGUCUGCUGUGAAAUCCCCGGGCUCAACCUGGGAAUGGCAGUGGAUACUGGCUCGCUAGAGUGUGUCAGAGGAUGGUGGAAUUCCCGGUGUAGCGGUGAAAUGCGUAGAGAUCGGGAGGAACAUCAGUGGCGAAGGCGGCCAUCUGGGACAACACUGACGCUGAGGCACGAAAGCGUGGGGAGCAAACAGGAUUAGAUACCCCUGUAGUCCCUGUCUCUUAUAA